CCUACGGGAGACAGCAGUGGGGAAUAUUGGUCAAUGGACGAGAGUCUGAACCAGCCAAGUAGCGUGAAGGAUGACUGCCCUAUGGGUUGUAAACUUCUUUUAUAUGGGAAUAAAAUGUUCCACGUGUGGGAUUUUGUAUGUACCAUAUGAAUAAGGAUCGGCUAACUCCGUGCCAGCAGCCGCGGUAAUACGGAGGAUCCGAGCGUUAUCCGGAUUUAUUGGGUUUAAAGGGAGCGUAGGUGGAUUGUUAAGUCAGUUGUGAAAGUUUGCGGCUCAACCGUAAAAUUGCAGUUGAAACUGGCAGUCUUGAGUACAGUAGAGGUGGGCGGAAUUCGUGGUGUAGCGGUGAAAUGCUUAGAUAUCACGAAGAACUCCGAUUGCGAAGGCAGUUCACUGGACUGCAACUGACACUGAGGCUCGAAAGUGUGGGUAUCAAACAGGAUUAGAUACCCGGGUAGUC
rnacentral:rRNA from 1 species